rnacentral:lncRNA from 1 species
CACCUCUCGGCCAGGGUGAAGCCAAUGGAGUAGGCGGGGCAUUUUGCGUGCUACAUUCUAAGAAGUAUUGGUUGUGAUGUGAUGGGAAGAACACAGCCAAAGUGAAGUCUGAAAGAUGUGAAGAAAUGCAAUACAUUUGCACAUUGGCACAUUGCCCUGCAGAGGACUGGCAACACCAGAAAUGAUGGAGACAGGAUACAUCAACCUGUAUCACUGAAGACGAUGUGGAGCAGAGCCUUUGUGGUCCUAAGAAACAUGUAUAAGAUAAAAACUUUUGUGGUUUUUCAAUCAUUUGAGGUUUUAGCAUUGUUCAUUGUAUUAACACAACUUGCCUAUUCUGACUGCUAAGGUUGUUCAGUGGGUUAUUCAUAAAGGCAAAAUGAGGUUGUGAGCCACAGAAAGAGAGGACAGGAUGGUUCCAUGGUGUCCCCAGCUUAUUUUUU